rnacentral:rRNA from 1 species
GUUCGGAAUUACUGGGCGUAAAGCGUGUGUAGGUGGUUGUCAUAGUCAGGUGUGAAAGCCUUGAGCUCAACUCAAGAAAUGCACUUGAUACUGGGCAGCUAGAGGACCGGAGAGGAUAGUGGAAUUCCCAGUGUAGUGGUGAAAUACGUAGAGAUUGGGAAGAACACCAGUGGCGAAGGCGGCUAUCUGGACGGUUUCUGACGCUAAGACGCGAAAGCGUGGGGAGCAAACAGG